ensembl:lncRNA
GACGUUCAAAAGACGGUAUACAUGAAUGAUUAAUUGUAUAUAUUUGAUACCGGAGUUGAUUUGAAUCAAUGAUCUCAGACAGGCAAUUCCCCACGCAAAAUAACCAAACCAGACCUUGUUUUGAUAAAGUAUUUUACUGCUGCUCAGGUGGAUUCCUAACGUGACGGACAGAGGGGUGCCGAUCAAAGUGUUUUCCUUACAUCUGAUGUAUCAAGUAAUCAUCGUAGAAUAACACCUAAAAAAGCACUGUCCGUGAAGUAGUCCUCACCGGCAACAGCUGCGAGAUAAACACACUCUAAUGAAGACAUGACUGGACGACCAUCACAGGUGUGUGUAUAGUUACUAGUACAUUAACACAUGGCACUGCAUUAGCAAAGUAAACAAAGUCGUGUGAAACAAGUGCAUCGUUUAAAAAGACUGUAUCAAAAAGGUAACGACGAGAGUCAACGUCUUCUGUGCUAUGGGUCAGCACGAAGCUCUCCAGAUCUGCGUCUGUUGUGAGUCGACAUGGUGAAGAAGAAGGCCUAUGCUGGGAGGAACGUUCGCUAGGUGUUGAAGGUUCCCCCGUCGGAGCGCAUUCAGCUCAGAUAUAAAAAAACAAGACUUAAAAAAAAAAAAAAAGGCAAACACAGAACCAAAGUCAAACCGAACAUUACAAUGUGUUGAUUCAUGUCCCGUGUUGUACACGUGUUCGGAGUGAAAAGGUCAACUGGAGAACAAACACAGAAACAGAUAAGGUUAAAACUAAAUAAAAGUGGGAAGGUUGUUGAUCAGUGUGAUUGGACACAGGUGCCACAUUUUAUAUGAUCCCCUUCUAGAGCGCACUGUUAAAAAAACAAAACAACAACAAUGGACCUCAUUUCACGGGCCAGGGGAAGGUCUAGAAUUAAUUUCCUAUUCAAGUAUAUGACUCCCAUCUAAAGGGGAGCGAUUAAACGGCCAGUGUGUGUGUGUGUGUGACUGUGUGUGUGACUGUGUGUGUGUGUGCGUGUGCGUGUCUGUGUGUGUCUGUGUGACUGUGUGUCUGUGUGCUGCUGGCUGCCUAAAUCAAGUUAACAACGUGGCCGGGACCCUGCACACAUUUUUAAUGCCUACAGAGCCAAUCAAAUCACAGAAUUCAAAUCAAGGAACCAAUGGAAUGGGUGCUUUGCGUGGAAUGGGUUCACGCAAGCAGGGGGUAGAGCGAUCUGGACGCACGGAUACGGCCAGCCACUCGGAGCGAUGGGGAGUCAUAAACGGCAACUCUCUCUGUGACCUCCUUGUUCAUUCCCUAUUAGGCCUACUCUCUCCCCCCUCCUCCCCGAUUCCUUCUGUAAGCGUCCAGCUGUCAAAGGAGCAUUAUUCUUGAUGGGUUUUCCCCUUUGGCUGCGGAUAAACGUCUUCCUCCCAGAAGACAGAUUUCCUUUUGAUAAAUGAUCAAUGUUUGGCCGAUCUGCGCAGGAAGUGCCUGUAGAUUAACGGCGUUUUGCAGAUGUUGUAUGAUGGACGUGCCGCGUCCUUACAAUCGUGUUUCCAGUACCCGCGCUGUGGUUCUUCAGGAGGUCUCGGCCUAUCACUGGUUGGUGGUCUUGAACACCAGUAGUGGGGUCUUGUCAAGGUCUCUUUGCUAUAGCGACGCCGUUUAAAACUCGGGUUAAAACCGUGCCGGGACAUUAAUCAACAAUUCCAUCGUGAUUGAUGGUUCCCUUCACUUCAAAAAAUAAAAGUUCUCCAUUUAGUUUUUUUCCCACAUAAUAAUUGCACAGACUUCCAAUACAGGCUUCCUCUGUUGACUGGCGUCCCCUUCGCCGUCUCUGGUCGUACAUUGGAGCCGUGAGGAGACAACGACGAACCACUGGCCGACCGGGAGCAAACGGUGGAUAAAAAUUGCAUUUGUUGCUACGGCUAAAGUCAAAGUGUGUGGCACAGUGCACUGUAUGGCAAUAAAUACAUCAACAACAUAAAUACACAACAUGGACCUGAUUAGAGGCUCAUAGCACCAAUCAGAGACAGCGUAGCUCACAGGACGCUGUGGUGUCUCCUUCCUCCAGAUGUCAGAGAAGCCACCAUCUUUUAUAGUCUUCUUCUUCUUCUUCUUUUUUUGUAGUGCAAAUUGUAAUGUCGUAUGGCAUCCCAACGCCGCCCCCUUCUGACCCUGGGCCUCAGCUGCGGUAUUUGAUGUUGGCAAUGACGCGAGGCUUUGGUAGCGUGGGCGGCUGUUUGAGAGAGG